rnacentral:rRNA from 1 species
AACGCUGGCGGCAGGCUUAACACAUGCAAGUCGAGCGCCCCGCAAGGGGAGCGGCAGACGGGUGAGUAACACGUGGGAACGUACCCUUUACUACGGAAUAACGCAGGGAAACUUGUGCUAAUACCGUAUGUGCCCUUUUGGGGAAAGAUUUAUCGGUAAGGGAUCGGCCCGCGUUGGAUUAGCUAGUUGGUGGGGUAAAGGCCUACCAAGGCGACGAUCCAUAGCUGGUCUGAGAGGAUGAUCAGCCACAUUGGGACUGAGACACGGCCCAAACUCCUACGGGAGGCAGCAGUGGGGAAUAUUGGACAAUGGGCGCAAGCCUGAUCCAGCCAUGCCGCGUGAGUGAUGAAGGCCCUAGGGUUGUAAAGCUCUUUCACCGGAGAAGAUAAUGACGGUAUCCGGAGAAGAAGCCCCGGCUAACUUCGUGCCAGCAGCCGCGGUAAUACGAAGGGGGCUAGCGUUGUUCGGAAUUACUGGGCGUAAAGCGCACGUAGGCGGACAUUU